ACGGCUAACUACGUGCCAGCAGCCGCGGUAAUACGUAGNNGGCAAGCGUUGUNNNGAAUUAUUGGGCGUAAAGCGCGCGCAGGUGGUUCUUUAANUNUGAUGUGAAAGCCCACGGCUCAACCGUGGAGGGUCAUUGGAAACUGGGGAACUUGAGUGCAGAAGAGGAAAGUGGAAUUNCACGUGUAGCGGUGAAAUGCGUAGAGAUGUGGAGGAACACCAGUGGCGAAGGCGACUUUCUGGUCUGUAACUGACACUGAGGCGCGAAAGCGUGGGGAGCGAACAGGAUUAGAUACCCUGGUAGUCCACGCCGUAAACGAUGAGUGCUAAGUGUUAGAGGGUUUCCGCCCUUUAGUGCUGCAGCUAACGCAUUAAGCACUCCGCCUGGGGAGUACGGCCGCAAGGCUGAAACUCAAAGGAAUUGACGGGGGCCCGCACAAGCGGUGGAGCAUGUGGUUUAAUUCGAAGCAACGCGAAGAACCUUACCAGGUCUUGACAUCCUCUGACAACCCUAGAGAUAGGGCCUUCCCCUUUUGGGGGACAGAGUGACAGGUGGUGCAUGGUUGUCGUCAGCUCGUGUCGUGAGAUGUUGGGUUAGGUCCCGCAACGAGCGCAACCCUUGAUCUUAGUUGCCAGCAUUCAGUUGGGCACUCUAAGGUGACUGCCGGUGACAAACCGGAGGAAGGUGGGGAUGACGUCAAAUCAUCAUGCCCCUUAUGACCUGGGCUACACACGUGCUACAAUGGAUGGUACAAAGAGCCCGCAAACCCGCGAGGGUAAGCUAAUCUCAUAAAGCCAUUCUCAGUUCGGAUUGCAGGCUGCAACUCGCCUGCAUGAAGCCGGAAUCGCUAGUAAUCGCGGAUCAGCAUGCCGCGGUGAAUACGUUCC
rnacentral:rRNA from 1 species